rnacentral:rRNA from 1 species
AGAACGAACGUUGGCGGCGUGGAUUAGGCAUGCAAGUCGAACGAAUCCCAGUGGGGGUAACUCUGCUGGGGGAAGUGGCGAAAGGGGCAGUAAUGCGUGGAUAACCUACCUCCGGGACGGGUAUAGCCAUUCUAACGAGUGGGUAAUCCCCCGGCGAGCUGGUCGAGGGGCAUCUCUUGGCCAGGAAAGGCGUAACGCCUGGGGAGGGUUCACGUGCUAUUAGCUUGUGGCGGGUAACGCCCACAAGGCUAAGAUGGCUAGCGGGUGUGAGAGCACGACCCGCGCCACUGGCACUGAGACACUGGCCAGACUCCUACGGGAGCUGGCAGUCGAGGAUCGUUCGGCAAAUGGGCGCAAGGCCCUAGGACCCGAGGCCGACGCCCGCGUGCGCGAUGAAGGCCGUUCGGGUGUAAAGCGCUGGUCGGAGGGGACGGAAACCCGGCGAACGGUC